rnacentral:piRNA from 1 species
UGCUUAAGGUAGUUUUCAGGAGUUACACG